rnacentral:rRNA from 1 species
UACGGGGGGGGCAAGCGUUGUUCGGAAUUACUGGGCGUAAAGGGCUCGUAGGUGGCCAACUAAGUCAGACGUGAAAUCCCUCGGCUUAACCGGGGAACUGCGUCUGAUACUGGAUGGCUAGAGAUUGGGAGAGGGAUGCGGAAUUCCAGGUGUAGCGGUGAAAUGCGUAGAUAUCUGGAAGAACACCCGUGGCGAAGGCGGCUCUCUGGGACGGUACUGACGCUGAGACGCGAAAGCGUGGGGAGCGAACAGG